rnacentral:rRNA from 1 species
GAUGAACGCUGGCGGCGUGCCUAAUACAUGCAAGUCGAGCGAACAGACGAGGAGCUUGCUCCUCUGACGUUAGCGGCGGACGGGUGAGUAACACGUGGAUAACCUACCUAUAAGACUGGGAUAACUUCGGGAAACCGGAGCUAAUACCGGAUAAUAUAUUGAACCGCAUGGUUCAAUAGUGAAAGACGGUUUUGCUGUCACUUAUAGAUGGAUCCGCGCCGCAUUAGCUAGUUGGUAAGGUAACGGCUUACCAAGGCAACGAUGCGUAGCCGACCUGAGGGGGUGAUCGGCCACACUGGAACUGAGACACGGUCCAGACUCCUACGGGAGGCAGCAGUAGGGAAUCUUCCGCAAUGGGCGAAAGCCUGACGGAGCAACGCCGCGUGAGUGAUGAAGGUCUUCGGAUCGUAAAACUCUGUUAUUAGGGAAGAACAAAUGUGUAAGUAACUAUGCACGUCUUGACGGUACCGAAUCAGAAAGCCACGGCUAACUACGUG